UACGUGUUUCUGCAAUAAAGCCUGCAUAUGGAUCCCAUGUCAAGUUCUGGAUCAUUACACAUGGCUUGGAAUUUAAACAAGCAGUUUUAUUAAAAUAUCUAUCAAAAUUGUUUGAAAACCCCUUUAAGAGUGUCUACAUAAUUUUUGGUACAUGUAGAUGCAGGUUGAAUUACUAACAGUUGGUUAGUGUAGCCAAACAUUUAAGACCGGUAUUCAUGUAGCAAUUUGCUGCUUUAUGUAACACCGGUAAUUCAAGCUGUCUCUCUCUCUCUCUCUCUCUCUCUCUCUCUCUCUCUCUAUCACAGUCCUGUCUGCAUCACAUGAUGUAAAUACAAGUCUAAAUCGUCAGGUAAUCGCAUCAUUUCCUGUCCUUAUGUCUCCUACUGUCUCUUCAGAAAAGCUCUGAUGGAUUUGUUGGUGGAUCUGUACAGUCAAUACCAUCUGAAUCCAGCAUAUUACACUCUGGAGCUGCUGUCACCCAAUGCUCAGCCCGUCAGCUUUAAGCCCAACACCCUGCUGGGUGCCCUGGAUGUCUCUUGUGCUCUGAUCAAAGAGCGAGUGCUGGAGGACAAGUUGAUUACCCAAAGUGCCAGAGACAAAAAAUAUGCAGCAUAUAUAAUGCAACAAGUGAGAUCUGCAGCACAGAAACAAGCAUCUCUUUCUCAGUGUCCCCCUCCAGUGAUUGAUCAUCCAGUAUCCCUUGUCGAGUGCCCUGUUGAAACAAGGAAAAUAAAUCUCACACAAACACACAAUCUUCAAUCCCCUGCCACGCAGUCAGAAUGUCAAGAAACCCAACAAGAAAUAAAAUAGCAUUUUACAAAAAGCUGGAGCAAGCCUUCAAAGAAAAAGGUUACAACAUCAGCAAUGAAAAAUUGCGCAAAAAACUUGGCAACAUGAUCACUACUUACAAAAGUGCUAAAGACCCGUGUCGGUCAACAGGAGAGGGAAAAGUUACAUGGGAGUAUUACAAGGAAAUGGAAGACUUAUUUGGGAAAUCUGGAGUUGGGAGUGCACCAUCAGGCACAAUCUGCUCGACUCCUCUGUUCAACACUACCUCAUCCCAGACCAAGUCCUCAAUUGCACAGGCCACAGGCUCCCAAGAACAGCCUCUCCCAGAAGAACAACCAGGUCCCUCCACUGCUAUGCCCUCCAAAGAAAUGCACAGAAGGAGACAAACAAUGAAGGAAGCGCGUUGGUGGGCACGAUCUCAUAUAAGGAGUGGUAAAUAUUGGAAAAAAUAUUAAUGUAAAUGUAAAUAUUAAUGAUGUAAUAAAAAUUAUGUUCAUACUAUUUAUCA
ensembl:lncRNA